rnacentral:lncRNA from 1 species
CUCUCCUUCUGGAAUUAUGAUGGUUUGUGUUUUGCUCUUUUUUUUUUUAAUUUAUUUUUUUUAAGAUUUUUUUUUUUUUUUUUACUUUUUCUCCCCAAAGCCCCCCAGUACAUAGUUGUAUAUUCUUCGUUGUGGGUCCUUCUAGUUGUGGCAUGUGGGACGCUGCCUCAGCGUGGUUUGAUGAGCAGUGUCAUGUCCGCGCCCAGGAUUCGAACCAACGAAACGCUGGGCGGCCUGCAGCGGAGCGCGCGAACUUAACCACUCGGCCAGGGGGCCAGCCCCAUGUUUUGCUCUUUUUUUUAAAUAGAAAUAAAUAAAAAUCACUGUAGCAGAACAGCCAAACUGCUUUGCCCCUACAGAUGAUCUAUGGCAUAUAUAUGUGUGUAUAUACUGCGAGAGAGAGCGUCUACACAUUUUCUUAAAGGAGAGUGGGAGAAAAUUAUAAGCAAAUUAAGAGUUUGACUUCCACCUAUUAUUCAGUUGUAUCUCACGCUAGAAAAUGAAACUAACCAAUGUAAAAUAAGCAUGAACACCUUCUUGGUUAGCACGUUGGUAAUAUUUAAACAACAAGGAGCAUAACAUAAUCUCCAAAGUAUUGCUUUGCCCCAUACCCUUCCUCCUCUCCCCGAAAAGAGCAGGAAUUUGUGGAACAGGAUUAGAAAGACCAGGAAACUGACACUCAGCGGUGUGUACUCUUACGACAGCACCUAACCCAUGGAGAAGAAGAGUCAUCAAUUUUGACCUUCAUGUGACCUUCUGUACCUUUCCAAUGGAUGAGGGUUUGGAGACUUAAGCGGAAUUCAUCGUCAACAGCCUUAACCAUAAAAUUCACCAAACAGGUUAGCAUAAACGGUCUUACAAUUUAGUAGAAAGUUUGACGGCCAUUUAUUUAGUACAAAUAAUCAAAUGUUUUCCAAACUUUAGAAUCAUUCUAAGUUUCACCAUACAAUUUUUUUCCUUUACGUUGACUCAUGUAUAAAGUGUUUGAUUCCUUAAAUAAAAGUAUUUCAAAAAGCAACCAUCGCUAUUGUAAAAAGAAAAGUCAGUAUGACUUGGCGUAAAUAGAAGUUAUCCACUGAAACAUCUUCGUUAACACAAAUGGUAACAAACCCUACCUGGGUGCACUGUUGCCCACCAAAGCGUUAGAGAGGUGUCAGAGGUCACCAACCCCAAGCAAGGGCAUUCUCCUUGACGUAAUCAAAAAGACUGAAUAAGAAUUGAAAGGGGAGUAACUUUCCCACUAGAGGGCUCAUUGCUGUUUCAUGCUGUGUCCCCGUGUACCUAAAAUCAUCCCGUUUCAGAAACAAUGCAGAGGGGCCGGCCCACUGGCAUAGUGGUUAAGCUUGCAUGUUUCACUUCUGCGGCCUGGGCUUUGCCGGUUCGGAUCCCGGGGGUGGACCUAGCACUGCUUCUCAAGCCAUGCUGAGGCAGGCAUCCCACAUAUAAAGUCGAGGAAGAUGGGCACAGAUGUUAGCUGAGGGCCAGUCUUCCUCAGCAAAAAGAGGAGGAUUGGCAGUGGAUGUUAGCUCAGGGCCAAUCUUCCUCAAAAAAAAAAGAAAGAAAGAAAGAAAGAAACACUGCAGAGUCCCCCUGCCUCUCCCUCUUAGAGCUCCUGAAGGAAGGUAAUUACCACUUCUCCCUAAACCUAAAGAAACCCAUUUUACUGUCUGGUGGAGGAGGUCAAACCUUAACAGCACUCAUGCACUCAGCGCACUACCUUUCAAAACCUACCGAAGUUCAACAGAUCUAAUCCCUGAAGGAAAAGGCCACUUCACCUCCACUAAAUGUUUUCCAACAGAAGAGCUGGAGGAAGCCACGGAUCGGGAGGAGAACACAGAAUGGGAAACAAUUAAGGAAUACUGUAGGUGAAGCUUCCUCCAAAGGCACUUACUUGGCAGAGGCCUGAGCAGCCACUCGGAUGGCUGGGGUCUGGUUCUGUGCUAGAGGGGGUGACUUUUCUUCUCCGAGGCUGGGGUGGGCGCACUCUCGGGGGGCACUGACUGCUGGGCCUGAGUGGCUGGAACUGGGGCCUCCGGGAGUGGGGAUGUGGGGUCAGGGUGAUCUUGACUUAGCUUCUGGCUGGCUGGUGGCAGACUCUCAAAAGCCUGAGCCCCGGGCUGCUUAUGAAACUCCUGGGCAGAUGAAGCCUGGCCUGGAGCAAUCUCUUGAACCCAAGAGCCGCUCUGGGGGGCCUGCUGGGUGUGAUCCAGGGCCUGCAAGUCAUGAACAGCUGGGCCGACCUGCAAGUCCAUAGGCUGGGUCUGAAAAGGCUGGGUGGGCAGAAGCUGAAUCAAAGAGAGCAGGGUGGCCCCAGCGUGGGCUUGGGAAACCUGCACAGGUGGAGGCUGAGUUUGAGAGGCCUGAGAAAGAUUCUGGAGCUGGCUCUGGGAAGCUAGAGGGACUGGGAGGUGGCUCUGUACAGCCACAGGCACUGGGGGGUCGCUCUGAGAGUCCACAGGCAGCGCGAGGUGGGUCUGUGCAGCCACAGGCAGCAGGAAGUGGCUCCGAGAGGCCACAGGCACCAUGGGCUGGCUCGUAGAGGCCAAGGGGACAGGAAGAUGGCUUGCAGAGGCAAGAGUGACCAGAGGCUGGCUCGUAGAGGCCCCAGAAAUGACAAGCUGGCUCUCGGAAGUAAGAACAGGCAGAGGCUGGCAAGUGGAGGCCAAGGAGACUACAGGCAGGCUCUUGGAGGGGAGGAUGGCUGGAGGCACGGGCUGGUCCGGAGGAGACAGAGUGGACUCGGACUGCACCAGAUGAGCCGAUGGUCGUUUAAUAAGCCGUGGCAGCCCAGCCUCGGGGCCCGGAGGACUAGCGUCAGGGCCUGCAGGGCGAGGUGCCUCGGAACUUUCGACGGUUUCAGGUUGGGGGCCCAGAGCCUCUCUGCAAACGUCUUGGGCGUCGCCGCUCUCUCGGACACCUUGCAUCCCGUCUUUGUCCUGGGCCUCCUCCUCUAGCUGUUUCUCCACCUCGCCAGUGACGGUCAUAUCCAGAGAAGCCCUCCUCUGAAGGAUCCUCCUGGUGCGCCGCCGCCGCAUGCGCAGGAAGGUGGUGGAGACGCCGCAGACCGCCAAAGAGAGGCGGUGGCCGACGCCCUGUCUGAGGGCUUCCACCGUGGUGGCGGAGGGCACGGGGAAGGGGCUCUUCAGGGCCUCCUCGGGAGUCAGUUCGAUGUUGCCCGUGUACCAGGAGACCCACCAGAGGAGGCUGAAGACGAUGAUGAUGGCACCCAGGUAGAGCAGCAGGUCGUAGAAGAACAGGUCGGCGAAGAUGCCGGUGAACAGCACCGUCAGGCCCACCGUGUCGAAGACGACGCCCAGCCAGAAGAAAUGCCGGCAGCGGCCCAGGCCCGUCCGCUUCCUGGUCCCACCGACGGUGUUUCCUGAACUCUCCAUGAGCCCCCACGAUCGCCGCCUCCAGAUCCGCAGAGGCGACCUGGCCGGCGGCGCCGCCGCAGGCCGGCUGUGGCCGCUGGGUCGCCAUGGCAACGCGCGGGGAGCGCGCAGCGCAGGGGGCGGGGCGAGAAGGCGCGCAGCCGCGCCACCGCUCACCUGACCCGGGGCAGAAGGGGCCCCGCCCCGGAGAGGUGCGCAUGCGUGGUACGCCCUGUCGCGUGCGCGACCGCUUCUCCGUAUGCGCAGGGUCCGC